GGAGAAGUGGCUGAGUGGCUGAAAGCACUCCUCUGCUAAGGGAGAGCGGUUUAACGACCGUCGCAGGUUCAAAUCCUGUCUUCUCCG
rnacentral:tRNA from 2 species